UCCUCAUUAGUAUAGUGGUGAGUAUCCC
rnacentral:piRNA from 4 species